AUACGGAAGGUCCGGGCGUUAUCCGGAUUUAUUGGGUUUAAAGGGAGCGCAGGCGGAGAUGCAAGCGUGACGUCAAAUUUCGGGGCUCAACCCCGUCUCGCGUCGCGAACUGCGUCCCUUGGUUGCGGGAAGGGGAGGCGGAACUCGUGGUGUAGCGGUGAAAUGCAUAGGUAUCACGAAGAACUCCGAUCGCGAAGGCAGCCUUCCGGCCCGUCAACGACGCUCAUGCUCGAAGGUGCGGGUAUCAAACAGGAUUAGAUACCCUGGUAGUCCGCACAGUAAACGAUGGACACCCGCGGUUUGGCCUAUAUGGCUGAGCCGCCAAGCGAAAGCGUUAAGUGUCCCACCUGGGGAGUACGCCGGCAACGGUGAAACUCAAAUGAAUUGACGGGG
rnacentral:rRNA from 1 species